GAGCGGUCAGGGCUGAUGUAACCGGAACCUGCAGGACUUGGAGUGCAACGUGGAGAGAGGCCUUGAAAGCCCUCCUGGAGCGUUUAAACAUGCUUCCAAAAAGCUAUUGAUGCAGUGAUUUAGCUGCCACAAAAAUCAGGAGGAAACACACAGGAAUUCAUUCAUCUCACUCUGGUGAUGGAAGACCAGCACACAAGACCUACAGUAAUGUUUCCAAACUUGAAGCCUCAUCAAUAAUAAGCAUGGUGCAACUUCAGAGGACUGAGAAGAAAAGAACCAUUGUCAAUGUUCAAAGCAGAGAACACAUCUCCAUCGAGACCAUUCCAUAACAGCAUAUGACCCUGAUUUCACUAGUGCUCUUGUUUCAAAGAAUGCCUUUCCC